rnacentral:rRNA from 1 species
GACGAACGCUGGCGGCGUGCUUAACACAUGCAAGUCGAACGAUGAAGAAGAGCUUGCUCUUCGGAUUAGUGGCGAACGGGUGAGUAACACGUGACUAACCUGCCCCUUUCUCUGGGAUAACGCUCCGAAAGGAGUGCUAAUACCGGAUACUCACAUCGAGGCACAUGCCUUGCUGUGGAAAGUUUUUCGGAAAGGGAUGGAGUCGCGGCCUAUCAGCUUGUUGGUGAGGUAACGGCUCACCAAGGCGACGACGGGUAGCCGGCCUGAGAGGGGGACCGGCCACACUGGGACUGAGACACGGCCCAGACUCCUACGGGAGGCAGCAGUGGGGAAUAUUGCACAAUGGGCGAAAGCCUGAUGCAGCGACGCCGCGUGAGGGAUGAAGGUCUUCGGAUUGUAAACCUCUUUCAGUAGGGACGAAGCGAAAGUGACGGUACCUAAAGAAGAAGUACCGGCUAACUACGUGCCAGCCGCCGCGGUAA